rnacentral:rRNA from 1 species
CCUACGGGUGGCUGCAGUGGGGAAUAUUGCUCAAUGGGCGAAACCCUGAUCCAGCAACGCCGCGUGAGUGAAGGAGUAUUUCGGUAUGUAAAGCUCUUUCAGUAGGGAAGAAGAAAGACGGUACCUGACUAAGAAGCCCCGGCUAACUACGUGCCAGCAGCCGCGGUAAUACGUAAGGGGCAAGCGUUAUCCGGAUUUACUGGGUGUAAAGGGAGCGUAGACGGCUGUGCAAGUCUGAAGUGAAAGACCGGGGCUCAACCGCCGAACUGCUUUUGAAACUGUAUGGCUUGAGUAGGGGAGAGGCAGGCGGAAUGCCUAGUGGAGCGGUGAAAUGCGUAGAUAUUAGGAGGAACACCAGUGGCGAAGGCGGCCUGCUGGACAGAAACUGACGUUGAGGCUCGAAAGCGUGGGGAGCAAACAGGAUUAGAUACCCCUGUAGUC